rnacentral:rRNA from 1 species
AGUGAACGCUGGCGGUGGGCCUAACACAUGCAAGUCGAACGGCAGCACAGUAAGAGCUUGCUCUUACGGGUGGCGAGUGGCGGACGGGUGAGGAAUACAUCGGAAUCUACUUUUUCGUGGGGGAUAACGUAGGGAAACUUACGCUAAUACCGCAUACGACCUACGGGUGAAAGCAGUGGAUCUUCGGACCUUGCGCGAUUGAAUGAGCCGAUGUCGGAUUAGCUAGUUGGCGGGGUAAAGGCCCACCCAGGCGACGAUCCGUAGCUGGUCUGAGAGGAUGAUCAGCCACACUGGAACUGAGACACGGUCCAGACUCCUACGGGAGGCAGCAGUGGGGAAUAUUGGACAAUGGGCGCAAGCCUGAUCCAGCCAUACCGCGUGGGUGAAGAAGGCCUUCGGGUUGUAAAGCCCUUUUGUUGGGAAAGAAAAGCAGCAGGUUAAUACCCCGCUGUUCUGACGGUACCCAAAGAAUAAGCACCGGCUAACUUCGUG